ensembl:snRNA U1 U1 spliceosomal RNA
AUACUUAACAGGGCAGGGGAGAUACCCCGAUCAAGAAGGUGACUACCCCAGGUGAGGCGUACCCACUGCACACCAGAUGUGCUGAGUCCUAUGAUUUCCCUAAAUACACAAAACUUUACUGCAUAAUUUGUUGUAUUAAGGAACUGUAUUACUAUAUUCAUGCUCUUCCUUC